rnacentral:rRNA from 1 species
GGACGAACGCUGGCGGCGUGCUUACCCCAUGCAAGUCGAACGGAAAGGCCCUGCUUGCAGGGUACUCGAGUGGCGAACGGGUGAGUAACACGUGGGUGAUCUGCCCUGCACUUCGGGAUAAGCUUGGGAAACUGGGUCUAAUACCGGAUAGGACCGCACUUUAGUGUGUGUGGUGGAAAGUUUUUUCGGUGUAGGAUGAGCUCGCGGCCUAUCAGCUUGUUGGUGGGGUAAUGGCCUACCAAGGCGGCGACGGGUAGCCGGCCUGAGAGGGUGUACGGCCACAUUGGGACUGAGAUACGGCCCAGACUCCUACGGGAGGCAGCAGUGGGGAAUAUUGCACAAUGGGCGCAAGCCUGAUGCAGCGACGCCGCGUGGGGGAUGAAGGCCUUCGGGUUGUAAACUCCUUUCGCUAGGGACGAAGCUUUGUUGUGACGGUACCUAGAUAAGAAGCACCGGCUAACUACGUG